rnacentral:rRNA from 1 species
CGGCGGACGGGUGAGUAACGCGUGGGUAACCUGCCCCAUACAGGGGGAUAGCAGCUGGAAACGGCUGGUAAUACCGCAUAAGCGCACAGUACCACAUGGUACAGUGUGAAAAACUCCGGUGGUAUGAGAUGGACCCGCGUCUGAUUAGCUUGUUGGCGGGGUAACGGCCCACCAAGGCGACGAUCAGUAGCCGACCUGAGAGGGUGACCGGCCACAUUGGGACUGAGACACGGCCCAG